rnacentral:rRNA from 1 species
GAUGAACGCUAGCGACAGGCUUAACACAUGCAAGUCGAGGGGCAUCACGGGUAGCAAUAUCUGGUGGCGACCGGCGAACGGGUGAGUAACGCGUAUGCAACCUACUUGUAAACGGGAGACAACCUGGAGAAAUUUGGGCUAAACUUCCAUGAGGCAUUAUUACUGCAUGGUAAUGAUGUCAAACGUAAGGUUUACAAAUGGGCAUGCGUAUGAUUAGCUAGUUGGUAGGGUAAUAGCCUACCAAGGCGACGAUCAUUAGGGGUUCUGAGAGGAAGGUCCCCCAAUUGGAACUGAGAUACGGUCCAAACUCCUACGGGAGCAGCAGUGAGGAAUAUUGGUCAAUGGACAGAAGUCUGAACCAGCCAAGUCGCGUGAAGGAAGAAGGUUUUCGGAUUGUAAACUUCUGUCCUUGGUGAAGAGAAGAAGACGGUAGCCAAGGAGGAAGCCCCGGCUAACUACGUGCCAGCAGCCCGCGGUAAACUCGUCUCUA